rnacentral:rRNA from 1 species
UACAGAGGGGGCAAGCGUUGUUCGGAAUUACUGGGCGUAAAGGGCGCGUAGGCGGCCUUCUAAGUCGAACGUGAAAUCCCCGGGCUCAACCCGGGAACUGCGUCCGAUACUGGAAGGCUUGAAUCCGGGAGAGGGAUGCGGAAUUCCAGGUGUAGCGGUGAAAUGCGUAGAUAUCUGGAGGAACACCGGUGGCGAAGGCGGCAUCCUGGACCAAUAUUGACGCUGAGGAGCGAAAGCCAGGGGAGCAAACGGG